AAAAAGGGCUUCUGCCGUGCGUGGCACAGGGGGGCCCUGCGGCCGCCCCCGCGGAAUCGACAUCAAGAGAUUUCAGAAGCACAAUUUUUGCAGUGGGGGUCUGAGCUGUCCCGGCGCUGCCAUCGGGAUGCCAGAGCCCCU